ACGGGAAGGCAGCAGUGGGGAAUAUUGCACAAUGGGGGAAACCCUGAUGCAGCGACGCCGCGUGAGUGAAGAAGUAUUUCGGUAUGUAAAGCUCUAUCAGCAAGGAAGAAAAUGACGGUACUUGACUAAGAAGCCCCGGCUAACUACGUGCCAGCAGCCGCGGUAAUACGUAGGGGGCAAGCGUUAUCCGGAUUUACUGGGUGUAAAGGGAGCGUAGACGGCAUAGCAAGUCUGAAGUGAAAUGCGGGGGCUCAACCCCUGAACUGCUUUGGAAACUGUUAAGCUAGAGUGCAGGAGAGGUAAGUGGAAUUCCUAGUGUAGCGGUGAAAUGCGUAGAUAUUAGGAGGAACACCAGUGGCGAAGGCGGCUUACUGGACUGUAACUGACGUUGAGGCUCGAAAGCGUGGGGAGCAAACAGGAUUAGAUACCCUGGUA
rnacentral:rRNA from 1 species